AGAGUUUGAUCCUGGCUCAGAGCGAACGCUGGCGGCAGGCUUAACACAUGCAAGUCGAGCGGGCGUAGCAAUACGUCAGCGGCAGACGGGUGAGUAACGCGUGGGAACGUACCUUUUGGUUCGGAACAACACAGGGAAACUUGUGCUAAUACCGGAUAAGCCCUUACGGGGAAAGAUUUAUCGCCGAAAGAUCGGCCCGCGUCUGAUUAGCUAGUUGGUGAGGUAAUGGCUCACCAAGGCGACGAUCAGUAGCUGGUCUGAGAGGAUGAUCAGCCACAUUGGGACUGAGACACGGCCCAAACUCCUACGGGAGGCAGCAGUGGGGAAUAUUGGACAAUGGGCGCAAGCCUGAUCCAGCCAUGCCGCGUGAGUGAUGAAGGCCCUAGGGUUGUAAAGCUC
rnacentral:rRNA from 1 species